rnacentral:rRNA from 1 species
CAAUAGCGUAUAUUAAAGUUGUUGCGGUUAAAAGCUCGUAGUUGGAUUUCUGUUGAGGUCGACCGGUGCACACUUCGUGUGUUAUUUGGUUCGGUCUCGGCAUCCUCCUGGGGAACGUGUCAGGACUUUAUUGGACUGCGCGAGAUUCAGGACUUUUACUUUGAGGAAAUUAGAGUGUUCACGGCAGGCAAGUGCUUUGAAUACAUUAGCAUGGAAUAAUAAUAUAGGACCUUCGUUCUAUUUGUUGGUUUCUAGAACUUAGGUAAUAGAUUAAUAGGACGAAUUGGGGCGAUUCGUAUUAACGUCGUCAGAGGUGGAAUUCUUGGAUUGCGUUACGACGAACUACUGCGAAAGCAUUGUCCAAAGAAUGUUUUCUAUUGAUCAAGAACGAAAGUAAUGGGGAGUCGAAGACGAUUAGAUACCAU